rnacentral:lncRNA from 1 species
CAGUAAUACAUAUCAGAAAGUGAAUGAUGAAUGUAAGUUCCACUGGUCUCAGCUUCAGACUGAUUUCCUCGAAGAGUAUAGCUUAGAGACAAUUUUCCCGAUACAUUUACAGCUUCUAGUGCUACCUUUUUGUCUUGUUCACUUCACUAUUUGGUGUGCCAAGUAUUGUUGCUUUAAAAUUAGCGAUCGAAGAAUGAAUAAAGUCCAAAAUGGAGAUCACCAUGAUAGUUCAAGUUCUAACGAGAGGGAAAAGGACAAGAUAAAGAAAAAUCCAAUGUUUGUACGAGGUAAAAAUGUAAAAGAAGGAAGAUAUUAUUAAGAUCAUAUGUUUUCAUGCUGUUACAAUGUGUUCAACGGAACAAAUUAAAAAUUAUAUGGUUUGCAACUGACCCCCUAGAGGGUUAUUAAAUCCAUAGGGGGUGAUGCCGUAGAUCUAUGGAUUCGAAAGGGGGUCAGUAUUGAACUAUUUAAUAAAUGUAUCGCAAUACAGGCAUUUUCCUGCUGCGUUUUGUAGAAAAAUAAACAUUAAAAUAAAACAAAAUCAAUAGAUGACGUCGCCUUUAAGAGUAGACUUGACGUCAUGUUCCCCUAAGAAAAUUACUAACCUGGUCACCACGGGACGAAUUUAACCUAUCACAACGCGAUAAUGUACCCGCGGUGAGAUAAAGUGUCUUAGUGAUAAUGUUCAUAUCACAGAGUGGUUCAUAUCCGACUUUAUAAACACAGAACGUAUAUUAAUCAUAUAAAGAAAUGUAGCAAAUGGAAUUAACAUACAAAAAAUAAACAUGGCAAUUUGUAUUGAAUGCACAUAAGAUGACACUAUACGGAACGUUUUCAGAACUUAAUCAAACUGUUUUUUUUACGUUUUGCAAUUGUAAAAUGCAUUUAUUUUAAUUUAAGUCUUAUUUUAAUUUAAGUCUGAUUUAGAUAUUCAUUAUACUUGUUAUAUAAAGACCACAUCUGUAAACCGUUGUUCAAAAAUUCGGUUAAGCAAAAAAAAAAAAAAAAAAAACCUUCAAGAAUGUGAAGUUUUAAUUCAAAUUGCGUUAUAGCCAAUUUUUUAAAAAUUAUUGAAAAUUACAAAAAUGUAUGGAUUUCCAUACGUUGAGUCACAAGUCCAUAAAUUUUGUUUUUUUCAAUAGACUGUUUCUUUUUUUUAUUAGGAUAUUUUGUAAGGAUCUGAUACACUAUGAUAAACACUAAGAGUAAGACAUUUUUGUAACACAUGGAAAAACGGUUUAAUUUAUAUAACAUUAAAAUCUUCCUCUGUGUUCUGAUAUAGGAAAGAGAAACAUUUCGUUGUGGAUACAUCAUUAGGUUAAAUAUAUAUUAUGUAAAACCGUAGCUUGUUCAAUAAUUAGAAAACCAAUAUCGUAAAGUCGGCUUUAAACGGAUUCUGACAUGAAAAAUAUGACAUUCCAAUUGAGAAAACAUACGACAUAAUUUUAAAAAAACCCAUCAAUUUACGAAAAAAACAUGAACCAACAACACUGAAAACAAUUGGGACUGACACAUAAAAAAUGUGGAUAGAUUACAUUUUUGGGUAGUAAUCUAAUGUUAUAUAGCACAACAUUAGACUAUACUAUCAAAAUCUAUUGACAAAGGAAUAUUAUUCAGAUCGAUGUAAAGCAAAAUAAGAUCGAACAAAAACACAGACCAGACGUGGCAGUGUACUUGUGCAUCCAUAAAAACAACAAAAAACAUAGAUCUGCGAGUAUUCACAGUUACUGACAGCUAUUAAAAACUCAACACGAAUGUCCGAUUUUUAUUCACUCACCGAAAUGUAUGAGUUUGACCUAUGAUAAACUAGUUUACUCCAACCACAAAGUUAUACGUCCGUCUCUUUUCAGUUACCUUUUCAAUGGUCGUUUCAUGUCAUAGUUAUUAGUUGUUGGGUUUUAUUAUUUGGAUAAGUUGGAGUCUGGGCGGAUUAUUUCACUUUAUGGUUUAUUUACUCAUAACUAUCAUAUACACGGGUUAUUUUAGAGGUUGUCAUUUGAUUUAGACAUACGUUAUUUUUCAAGUCUGUAUGUUACCAAUAUUUAUUUGGUUAGUAAUCUCAUUGUGAUUUACCCAAAAAACUCUUUCAAUAUGACAGGAAUAUCUGUUAACGCCUGAGACCUUUGUCUAAUUUAACAGGCGAACUUUAAGCUUAAACUCGAAACCAUUUCGCAUAACAAGUAAUGUAAAGACAUUUUUUUUACCCUAGUGUUUUUGUACAACGCAGACAAUGAUCUGAAACUAAAAUCAACAGAAGAAGCGGAGAGAAUUGGAGCGGUGAAAUCAAGAGGGUAAUAAAGUUAUAGUUUUAUAAAUUUGUCUGUACAUUGAAAGUAAGCUCUGUUGAUAAAAAAUUAAAUUUAUCUAUAACAUGAAUAAUAACACAAUGUUGACUGCUGUACCACAACUUAUGACAUUUACCGAUUAUAUCGGUUUGUUUUUAUCACACAUCGAUUUCGAUAUAAUGAAUUUCUUGGCGACCGUCAUACGGGUGAUCUGUUUAGCUAGCUAUAAAACAAGGUUAAGCUUGAUAUAAAACAAGAUUUAGUCCACCAUUUUCUAAUUUAAGAAAACGUUUAUACCAAUUGAAAGUCAGGAAUAUGACAGUUGUUGUCCAUUCGUUUGCUUUUGAUUUUGAAAUUUUAUUAGGGACUUUCCGUUUUGAAUUUCCUUGAAGUUCUUUUUAGGGAAAUUUCCUUUUUAAUGUUACAUAUGUUUUAAAACCUCUUUUACUGUAAUUUGUAUUUUGUAAGGAAUUUGUAAGACAUUUCAAGAACAAAUAUUUUUCUGAAUUUUUCAAAGUGUAAUUUAGUCAGUGUGGGUUUUUGUUAUUUUGUAAAAUCGUUUAUGUACGCUUUUAUACAUUAAGUAUGUCCAAAAAAAAAAAAAAACGCGUAACGCGUAACAUCUGCCAAAAAGCGUCAUUUUGAAAUCGUUAUGGCUUGUCCUAUUUAGUCGAAUAAUUGAAUUUCUGACAGCUUUAAUCAUUUUACUAUUAUAACAGGAAAAUUGAGAUCACAGAAGAAGAUAAAAUAACGGUAUUUAAUAUUUAA